ACGAACGCUGGCGGCAUGCCUAACCCAUGCAAGUCGAACGAGAUCUUCGGAUCUAGUGGCGCACGGGUGCGUAACGCGUGGGAAUCUGCCCCUUGCUUCGGAAUAACAGUGAGAAAUUACUGCUAAUACCGGAUGAUGUCUUCGGACCAAAGAUUUAUCGGCAAGGGAUGAGCCCGCGUAGGAUUAGGUAGUUGGUGGGGUAAUGGCCUACCAAGCCGACGAUCCUUAGCUGGUCUGAGAGGAUGAUCAGCCACACUGGGACUGAGACACGGCCCAGACUCCUACGGGAGGCAGCAGUGGGGAAUAUUGGACAAUGGGCGAAAGCCUGAUCCAGCAAUGCCGCGUGAGUGAUGAAGGCCUUAGGGUUGUAAAGCUCUUUUACCAGGGAUGAUAAUGACAGUACCUGGAGAAUAAGCUCCGGCUAACUCCGUG
rnacentral:rRNA from 1 species